AGUUUGAUCCUGGCUCAGGACGAACGCUGGCGGCGUGCCUAAUACAUGCAAGUCGAACGAGAGCGACCGGUGCUUGCACUGGUCAAUCUAGUGGCGAACGGGUGAGUAACACGUGGGUAACCUGCCCAUCAGAGGGGGAUAACAUUCGGAAACGGAUGCUAAAACCGCAUAGGUCUUCGAACCGCAUGGUUUGAAGAGGAAAAGAGGCGCAAGCUUCUGCUGAUGGAUGGACCCGCGGUGCAUUAGCUAGUUGGUGAGGUAACGGCUCACCAAGGCCUUGAUGCAUAGCCGACCUGAGAGGGUGAUCGGCCACAUUGGGACUGAGACACGGCCCAAACUCCUACGGGAGGCAGCAGUAGGGAAUCUUCCGCAAUGGACGCAAGUCUGACGGAGCAACGCCGCGUGAGUGAAGAAGGUUUUCGAAUCGUAAAACUCUGUUGUUAGAGAAGAACAAGUGCUAGAGUAACUGUUAGCGCCUUGACGGUAUCUAACCAGAAAGCCACGGCUAACUACGUGCCAGCAGCCGCGGUAAUACGUAGGUGGCAAGCGUUGUCCGGAUUUAUUGGGCGUAAAGCGAGCGCAGGCGGUUCCUUAAGUCUGAUGUGAAAGCCCCCGGCUCAACCGGGGAGGGUCAUUGGAAACUGGGGAACUUGAGUGCAGAAGAGGAGAGUGGAAUUCCAUGUGUAGCGGUGAAAUGCGUAGAUAUAUGGAGGAACACCAGUGGCGAAGGCGACUCUCUGGUCUGUAACUGACGCUGAGGCUCGAAAGCGUGGGUAGCAAACAGGAUUAGAUACCCUGGUAGUCCACGCCGUAAACGAUGAGUGCUAAGUGUUGGAGGGUUUCCGCCCUUCAGUGCUGCAGUUAACGCAUUAAGCACUCCGCCUGGGGAGUACGACCGCAAGGUUGAAACUCAAAGGAUUGACGGGGACCCGCACAAGCGGUGGAGCAUGUGGUUUAAUUCGAAGCAACGCGAAGAACCUUACCAAGUCUUGACAUCCUUUGACCACUCUAGAGAUAGAGCUUUCCCUUCGGGACA
rnacentral:rRNA from 1 species